GACGAACGCUGGCGGCGUGCCUAAUACAUGCAAGUCGAACGCAGUGGGGACGGGUGAGUAACACGUGGGUAACCUCCCAUCAGAGGGGAUAACACUUGGAAACAGGUGCUAAACCGAUACUGAUGGAUGGACCCGCGGUGCAUUAGCUAGUUGGUGAGGUAACGGCGCACCAAGGCCACGAUGCAUCGCCGACCGUAGAGGGUGGUCGGCCACUCUGGAGCUGAGAAACUGCCCAGACUCCUACGGAUGGCAGCAGUAGGUAAUCUUCGGCAAUGGACGAAAGUCUGACCGAGCAACGCCGCGUUAGUGAAGAAGGUUUUCGGAUCGUCGAGCUCUGUUGUUUGAGAAGCGGUAUCUAACCAGAAAGCCACGGCUAACUACGUGCCAGCCGCCGCGGUAAUAC
rnacentral:rRNA from 1 species